AGCGAACGCUGGCGGCAGGCCUAAUACAUGCAAGUCGAACGGUCUCUUCGGAGGCAGUGGCGGACGGGUGAGUAACGCGUGGGAACGUGCCCUUUGGUACGGAACAAGUGAGGGAAACUUCAGCUAAUACCGCAUGUUCCCUUCGGGGGAAAGAUUUAUCGCCAUUGGAGCGGCCCGCGUUGGAUUAGCUUGUUGGUGGGGUAAUGGCCCACGCAGUCGACGAGCCAGAGCUGGUCUGCGAGGAUGAUCAGCCACCCUAGGACUGAGACACGGCCCAGACUCCUACGGGAGGCAGCAGUAGGGAAUCUUGCGCAAUGGGCGAAAGCCUGACGCAGCCAUGCCGCGUGAAUGAUGAAGGUCUUAGGAUUGUAAAAUUCUUUCACCGGGGACGAUAAUGACGGUACCCGGAGAAGAAGCCCCGGCUAACUUCGUGCCAGCCGCCGCCGUAA
rnacentral:rRNA from 1 species